AUUAGCUAGUUGGUGAGGUAAUGGCUCACCAAGGUGACGAUCCCUAGCUGGUUUGAGAGGAUGAUCAGCCACACUGGAACUGAGACACGGUCCAGACUCCUACGGGAGGCAGCAGUGGGGAAUAUUGGACAAUGGGCGCAAGCCUGAUCCAGCCAUGCCGCGUGUGUGAAGAAGGCCUUCGGGUUGUAAAGCACUUUCAGUUGGGAGGAAGGGUUGUGUGUUAAUAGUACACAGCCUUGACGUUACCAACAGAAGAAGCACCGGCUAACUCUGUGCCAGCAGCCGCGGUAAUACAGAGGGUGCAAGCGUUAAUCGGAAUUACUGGGCGUAAAGCGCACGUAGGCGGUUUUUUAAGUCAGAUGUGAAAGCCCCGGGCUCAACCUGGGAAUUGCAUUUGAAACUGGAAAACUAGAGUGUGUGAGAGGGGGGUAGAAUUCCAAGUGUAGCGGUGAAAUGCGUAGAGAUUUGGAGGAANUNACNCAGUGGCGAAGGCGGCCCCCUGGCACAACACUGACGCUCAGGUGCGAAAGCGUGGGGAGCAAACAGGAUUAGAUACCCUGGUAGUCCACGCCGUAAACGAUGUCUACUAGCUGUUCGUGACCUUGUGUCGUGAGUAGCGCAGCUAACGCACUAAGUAGACCGCCUGGGNGNANGUANCNGGUCGCAAGAUUAAAACUCAAAUGAAUUGACGGGGGCCCGCACAAGCGGUGGAGCAUGUGGUUUAAUUCGACGCAACGCGAAGAACCUUACCUACUCUUGACAUCCAGAGAAGACUGCAGAGAUGCGGUUGUGCCCUCGGGAACUCUGAGACAGGUGCUGCAUGGCUGUCGUCAGCUCGUGUUGUGAAAUGUUGGGUUAAGUCCCGCAACGAGCGCAACCCUUAUCCUUAGUUGCCAGCACGUAAUGGUGGGAACUCUAGGGAGACUGCCGGUGAUAAACCGGAGGAAGGUGGGGACAACGUCAAGUCAUCAUGGCCCUUACGAGUAGGGCUACACACGUGCUACAAUGGUAUGUACAGAGGGAGGCAAGCUGGCGACAGUGAGCGGAUCUCUUAAAGCAUAUCGUAGUCCGGAUCGCAGUCUGCAACUCGACUGCGUGAAGUCGGAAUCGCUAGUAAUCGCAAAUCAGAAUGUUGCGGUGAAUACGUU
rnacentral:rRNA from 1 species